UAGUAACGGCGAGUGAAGAGGGAAAAGCUCAAAUUUUGAAUCUGGUGUCUUUGACUCCCGAGUUGUAAUCUAGAGAAGUGUUUUCCGCGUUGGACCGUGUACAAGUUCCCUGGAACGGGGCGUCAUAGAGGGUGAGAAUCCCGUAUAUGCCACGGACUACCAAUGCUCUGUGAUACACUCUCAACGAGUCGAGUUGUUUGGGAAUGCAGCUCAAAAUGGGUGGUAAAUUCCAUCUAAAGCUAAAUAUUGGCGAGAGACCGAUAGCGAACAAGUACCGUGAGGGAAAGAUGAAAAGCACUUUGGAAAGAGAGUGAAACAGUACGUGAAAUUGUUGAAAGGGAAGCGUUUGAAGUCAGUCACGUCUGUCGGAAUUCAGCCUGGCUUCUGCCUGGUGUACUUCCCGUCCGACGGGUCAGCAUCAAUUUUGAUCGAGGGAAAAAGACAUGAGGAAUGUGGCUGUCUUCGGGCAGUGUUAUAGACUCGUGUUGUAUGUCUCGGUUGGGAUUGAGGAACGCAGCGCGCCUAUUGGCCGGGGGUUCGCGCCCCUCGGUACGCGCUUAGGA
rnacentral:rRNA from 1 species